rnacentral:rRNA from 1 species
UGGGCGAAAGCCUGAUGGAGCAACGCCGCGUGAGUGAAGAAGGUUUUCGGAUCGUAAAGCUCUGUUGUUGGUGAAGAAGGAUACAGGUAGUAACUGGCCCCUAUUUGACGGUAAUCAACCAGAAAGUCACGGCUAACUACGUUCCACCAGCCGCGGUAAUACGUAUGUGGCAAGCGUUGUCCGGAUUUAUUGGGCGUAAAGCGAGCGCAGGCGGACACAUAACUCUGAUGUGAAAACCCCCGGCUUAACCGACGAAUUGCUCCUGACACUGUGU